rnacentral:rRNA from 1 species
GACGAACGCUGGCGGCGUGCCUAAUACAUGCAAGUCGAGCGGAGUUUUUAAAAGCUUGCUUUUAAAAACUCAGCGGCGGACGGGUGAGUAACACGUGGGCAACCUGCCCUGUAGACUGGGAUAACUUCGGGAAACCGAAGCUAAUACCGGAUAAUCAUAGAAGUUGCAUAGCUUCUAUGUAAAAGUUGGGUUUACCUAACACUACAGGAUGGGCCCGCGUCGCAUUAGCUAGUUGGUAAGGUAACGGCUUACCAAGGCGACGAUGCGUAGCCGACCUGAGAGGGUGAUCGGCCACACUGGGACUGAGACACGGCCCAGACUCCUACGGGAGGCAGCAGUAGGGAAUCUUCCGCAAUGGACGAAAGUCUGACGGAGCAACACCGCGUGAGCGAUGAAGGCCUUCGGGUCGUAAAGCUCUGUUGUUAGGGAAGAAACAAGUGCUAUUCGAAUAGGGUGGCACCCUGACGGACCUAAA